rnacentral:sRNA from 1 species
GUCAGGUACAGUGAUGCAUGCCUGUAAUCCCAGGACCUUGGGAGGCUGAGGCAGGAGGAUUGCCAAGUUGGAGGCCAGCCUCAGCAACUUGGAAAGACCCUGUCUCAA